GAGUUUGAUUAUGGCUCAGGACAAACGCUGGCGGCGUGCAUAACACAUGCAAGUCGAACGAAAUCUACAUGAUUUAGUGGCGAACGGGUGAGUAACACGUGAGAAACCUGCCUUACACAGAGGGAUAGCCGUUGGAAACGACGAUUAAUACCUCAUGACACCGUGACAUCGCAUGAUGAUGCGGUCAAAGAUUUAUCGGUGUAAGAUGGUCUCGCGCCUGAUUAGCUGGUUGGUGGGGUAACGGCCUACCAAGGCGACGAUCAGUAGCCGAUCUGAGAGGGUGGACGGCCACAUUGGGACUGAGACACGGCCCAAACUCCUACGGGAGGCAGCAUGUGGGGAAUUUUGCACAAUGGGGGAAACCCCUGAUGCAGCGACGCCNCGUGAACGAAGAAGGCCUUCGGGUUGUAAAGUUCCUGUCCCUUGGUGAAGAUAAUGA
rnacentral:rRNA from 1 species